AACGCUGGCGGCAGGCUUAACACAUGCAAGUCGAGCGGAUGAAAGUAGCUUGCUACUGGAUUCAGCGGCGGACGGGUGAGUAAUGCUUAGGAAUCUGCCUAUUAGUGGGGGACAACGUUCCGAAAGGGGCGCUAAUACCGCAUACGUCCUACGGGAGAAAGCAGGGGACCUUCGGGCCUUGCGCUAAUAGAUGAGCCUAAGUCGGAUUAGCUAGUUGGUAGGGUAAAGGCCUACCAAGGCGACGAUCUGUAGCGGGUCUGAGAGGAUGAUCCGCCACACUGGGACUGAGACACGGCCCAGACUCCUACGGGAGGCAGCAGUGGGGAAUAUUGGACAAUGGGGGGAACCCUGAUCCAGCCAUGCCGCGUGUGUGAAGAAGGCCUUUUGGUUGUAAAGCACUUUAAGCGAGGAGGAGGCUACCUAGAUUAAUACUUUAGGAUAGUGGACGUUACUCGCAGAAUAAGCACCGGCUAACUCUGUGCCAGCAGCCGCGGUAAUACAGAGGGUGCGAGCGUUAAUCGGAUUUACUGGGCGUAAAGCGUGCGUAGGCGGCCAAUUAAGUCAAAUGUGAAAUCCCCGAGCUUGACUUGGGAAUUGCAUUCGAUACUGGUUGGCUAGAGUAUGGGAGAGGAUGGGUAGAAUUCCAGGUGUAGCGGUGAAAUGCGUAGAGAUCU
rnacentral:rRNA from 1 species